UUGUGUUUUUGUCUGUAAUGUGUAUUUCCUGUGUUCAGUGGGUAAUAAGAACGACGAUCCGGCCUCUAAAGUGGUGGAGACCAACGAUGCGCAGAAGCUUGCAGAGCAGAUGGGCAUCCGACUGUUCGAGACCAGCGCCAAAGAGAACCUCAAUGUGGAGGACAUGUUCAACUGCAUCACCGAGCUGGUCCUGAAGGCCCGGAAAGAGUCUGUAGCCAAACAACAACAACAGCAGCAAAGUGAAGUCGUCAAACUGAGUAAGAGCAACAAACGCAAGAAGAAAUGCUGCUGAUGGACUCUACACACACACACACACACACACACACACACACACACACACACACACACACACACACACACACACACAC